CAAGGAACUAAGAGUUUAUGGGGGAUACCUUGGCAUUCAGAAGCGAUGAAGGACGUGGUUACCGACGAUACGCUUCGGGGAGCUGGAAACAAGCUAUGAUCCGGAGGUCUCCGAAUGAGGCAACUUUUUAACUACUUAUUGAAUUCAUAGAUAAGAAAGAGCGAACCUAGAGAAUUGAAACAUCUUAGUACCUAGAGGAAAAGAAAGUAAAAACGAUUCCCUGAGUAGCGGCGAGCGAAACGGGAUUAGCCUAAACUUAAUUACAAAUUAAGGGUAGUGGGACAAUAACAACAAAUUUAAUGGAACAAUUAGAGGAAUAAGUUUGGAAUACUUAACCAUAGGGAGUGAUAGUCUCGUACUCGAAAAUUGAACCAAUUUAAUUGUAUCCCAAGUAGCAUGGAGCACGUGAAAUUCCGUGUGAAUCUGCGAGGACCACCUCGUAAGGCUAAAUAUUCCUGAAUGACCGAUAGUGAAACAGUACCGUGAGGGAAAGGUGAAAAGAACCCCGGGAGGGGAGUGAAAAGAACAUGAAACCAUAAACUUACAAGCAGUAGGAGGACGACUAAAACGUCUGACUGCGUGCCUGUUGAAGAAUGAGCCGGCGACUUAUAGGUAGUGGCAGGGUAA
rnacentral:rRNA from 1 species